UACGAGGGGUGCAAGCGUUGCUCGGAAUUAUUGGGCGUAAAGGGUAGGUAGGUGGUCUCAUUUGUCUGAGGUGAAAGCCUUGAGCUUAACUCAAGAAGUGCCUUAGAAACGGUGAGACUGGAGUCCUGGAGAGGGUCGUGGAAUUCCCGGUGUAGCGGUGAAAUGCGUAGAGAUCGGGAGGAACACCUGCGGCGAAGGCGGGUUGCUGGGCUGACACUGACGCUGAUGCGCGAAAGCCAGGGGAGCGAACGGG
rnacentral:rRNA from 1 species